rnacentral:tRNA from 1 species
CGCGGAGUAGCUCAGUUGGUAGAGCACCCUUCGCUCAGUCGGGGAGGCGCGGGUUCGAUUCCCGCCUUCGCGGCCA